UAAGCUCUGGCUGAAGGGGCAAAAAAGACAAGGCAGAGACGUUGUGCUGGAAACAUUCAACCCUUUGAGAAAGUGUGAGCAUCUAUAACAUGCAGAGCUGAUAAUGUGGGGUUAACCUGACAAUGUUAUUGUGGAGAGGAGUUGUGUGAAUUUGUAUGAAGAACAAAAAUCUUCAGUUAGAUCAUGACAGGAAAAUGAAGAUCCUUUUCAAAUAACAGCACAGAGGGCGAGAAUGGUCUCAGAAUAACUGAGAGUGAAGUGCUGUACUGAAAGAUCUGGACACCAGGGGGUGCUAGAAAGCCUCUCUUGGCCUUCCUGUCUUUCCACAGUCCCAACUUACUGCAGGUCGCAGGAUCUGGGGAGAUCACAUUGGGUCAAAAGGCAUGUGACUCACAGCUUUAUUUAACAGAACUCUGCAAAAAUAGGAUAUUGUGUAAGACAGGAGGCCACACUAAUCCCAAUAUUGAGUGAAGGCAUCAGUGGAAUUGUUGGGACAUGUAGACAGGAACAGGAGGGACUGAGCUUCUACAGAUAGUGGGGAUGAAGCCUGAAGCACUGACCAGGAAGUUAGGGUUAGAGGGAUCUGUGGAGACGAACAGCUCCCACCUGGUACAUGGGAACAUACAGGCAAUAAUGAGAGCUUGAAGAAAUGAUCAAUUGUGUGGACAGGACGGGGCAACAACAUCUAAGGAGUCUCAAAAUUUCUGCAUCUUCCUGGCUGGAUAGGACCAUCUUUAUUAGUGCCCCAGGUGAUACACAACAAGUCUCCCACAUCCUGACUUUCUUCACUCUGGACUCCCUCAAUCUGCUGGCGGUAUUUGCUGAAUUUCAUUACCUUCUACCCAUCAAUAUGUCUCUUAGGAUCCUGAUGCCAUAAUUGCAAAACUACCACUUGCCCUGUAUUUUGGUUCUCAUUUUCCCAUGCUUCUGACUGCCAACACCGAGAGAGAACUUUGCUACAUUUGAGUGGUGGAUUGAAAGGUCAAGGUAAAGGUAUCUAUUUCUUAAACUGCUGGAGGCCAAGUAACAAGCCAGUCAAAGGGAAACAGGGCAAAUGAAUUUCUGCUAAGACGCAAAGCCAAGAAUCUCAAAAUCAGUUUUCCAUCUAUCAACAUCCCAAUACAGGUGUAUUUACUUUGCACAAACAAUGAUGGCUGGCUACAGAUUUUUAUAAUAAAACAAGAGAUUAAAGACGGUGUUAAUGACUAAAGAAUUUAUAUAUCAGCAAUCCUGCAUAUUUUUCCUUUGCCUGAAUGUCAAAACUGGAAGGUUCUGCGGUGUCUGAGUCAUCCUCUCCUGUAAUGGAAAAACUUCAUCUCCUCGUCCUCCUCCUACACCUACAGGCUUUGAAAUGCUAAGCUCUAACACAAGACACUAUCUUAUCUUGCACAUUCUUUCAUCUUGCUGCUUUUGGCUUUAAUUUCUGAAUCUUCAAAACUCAGGCUUGGGCAUUUUGCAAAUGUGCUUUCGCCAGUGCUCCCCUGCUUUGAAAUGCUGAAUUCUCCAAUUCGUAGGAUAUGAAUUGGAGUGUGCAAAGCUAGCCCAUAAUUUGAACAUUAAAUGGCUU